rnacentral:misc_RNA from 1 species
UCUGCGUUUCGCGCAGCGGUCUCGCUAGAGAGAUUCAACUAGCGACGAGGGUUGCGCUCGUUGCGGGACUUAACCCAACACCUCACGACACGAGCUGACGACAGCCAUGCAGCACCUGUGAACCAGCCAUUGCUGGCGACCACAUUUCUGUGAGUCUUCCGGUCCAUGUCAAAUCUAGGUAAGGUUCUGCGCGUUGCAUCGAAUUAAACCACAUGCUCCACCGCUUGUGCGGGCCCCCGUCAAUUUCUUUGAGUUUUAACCUUGCGGCCGUACUCCCCAGGCGGGAUACUUAACGCGUUAGCUUCGGCACUGAAGGGGUCAAUACCUCCAACACCAAGUAUCCAUCGUUUACGGUGCGGACUAC